GACGAACGCUGGCGGCGUGCCUAAUACAUGCAAGUAGAACGCUGAAGAGAGGAGCUUGCUCUUCUUGGAUGAGUUGCGAACGGGUGAGUAACGCGUAGGUAACCUGCCUUGUAGCGGGGGAUAACUAUUGGAAACGAUAGCUAAUACCGCAUAACAAUGGAUGACCCAUGUCAUUUAUUUGAAAGGGGCAAAUGCUCCACUACAAGAUGGACCUGCGUUGUAUUAGCUAGUAGGUGAGGUAACGGCUCACCUAGGCGACGAUACAUAGCCGACCUGAGAGGGUGAUCGGCCACACUGGGACUGAGACACGGCCCAGACUCCUACGGGAGGCAGCAGUAGGGAAUCUUCGGCAAUGGGGGCAACCCUGACCGAGCAACGCCGCGUGAGUGAAGAAGGUUUUCGGAUCGUAAAGCUCUGUUGUAAGUCAAGAACGAGUGUGAGAGUGGAAAGUUCACACUGUGACGGUAGCUUACCAGAAAGGGACGGCUAACUACGUGCCAGCAGCCGCGGUAAUACGUAGGUCCCGAGCGUUGUCCGGAUUUAUUGGGCGUAAAGCGAGCGCAGCGGUUUGAUAAGUCUGAAGUUAAAGGCUGUGGCUCAACCAUAGUUCGCUUUGGAAACUGUCAAACUUGAGUGCAGAAGGGGAGAGUGGAAUUCCAUGUGUAGCGGUGAAAUGCGUAGAUAUAUGGAGGAACACCGGUGGCGAAAGCGGCUCUCUGGUCUGUAACUGACGCUGAGGCUCGAAAGCGUGGGGAGCGAACAGGAUUAGAUACCCUGGUAGUCCACGCCGUAAACGAUGAGUGCUAGGUGUUGGAUCCUUUCCGGGAUUCAGUGCCGCAGCUAACGCAUUAAGCACUCCGCCUGGGGAGUACGACCGCAAGGUUGAAACUCAAAGGAAUUGACGGGGGCCCGCACAAGCGGUGGAGCAUGUGGUUUAAUUCGAAGCAACGCGAAGAACCUUACCAGGUCUUGACAUCCCGAUGCUAUUUCUAGAGAUAGAAAGUUACUUCGGUACAUCGGUGACAGGUGGUGCAUGGUUGUCGUCAGCUCGUGUCGUGAGAUGUUGGGUUAAGUCCCGCAACGAGCGCAACCCCUAUUGUUAGUUGCCAUCAUUCAGUUGGGCACUCUAGCGAGACUGCCGGUAAUAAACCGGAGGAAGGUGGGGAUGACGUCAAAUCAUCAUGCCCCUUAUGACCUGGGCUACACACGUGCUACAAUGGUUGGUACAACGAGUUGCGAGUCGGUGACGGCAAGCUAAUCUCUUAAAGCCAAUCUCAGUUCGGAUUGUAGGCUGCAACUCGCCUACAUGAAGUCGGAAUCGCUAGUAAUCGCGGAUCAGCACGCCGCGGUGAAUACGUUCCCGGGCCU
rnacentral:rRNA from 1 species